rnacentral:rRNA from 1 species
AGUGAACGCUGGCGGCAGGCCUAAUACAUGCAAGUCGAACGGCAGCACAGUGGAGCUUGCUCCAUGGGUGGCGAGUGGCGGACGGGUGAGGAAUACAUGGGAAUCUGCCCAGUCGUGGGGGAUAACGUAGGGAAACUUACGCUAAUACCGCAUGCGCCCUUCGGGGGAAAGCCGGGGACCGUAAGGCCUGGCGCGAUUGGAUGAGCCCAUGUCGGAUUAGCUAGUUGGCGGGGUAACGGCCCACCAAGGCGACGAUCCGUAGCUGGUCUGAGAGGAUGAUCAGCCACACUGGAACUGAGACACGGUCCAGACUCCUACGGGAGGCAGCAGUAGGGAAUAUUGGACAAUGGGCGCAAGCCUGAUCCAGCCAUGCCGCGUGAGUGAAGAAGGCCCUCGGGUUGUAAAGCUCUUUUGUCCGGAAAGAAAAGCACUGGGUUAAUACCCCGGUGUCCUGACGGUACCGGAAGAAUAAGCACCGGCUAACUUCGUGCCAGCAGCCGA